rnacentral:tRNA from 1 species
GGAUGUGGCUCAAGUGGUAGCGAGUGCGCUUGCCUAGCAUGCAUGAGGUCCUGGGUUCGAUUCUCAGCACCA